rnacentral:rRNA from 1 species
AACGAACGCUGGCGGCAUGCCUAACACAUGCAAGUCGUACGAGACCUUCGGGUCUAGUGGCGCACGGGUGCGUAACGCGUGGGAACCUGCCCUUAGGUUCGGAAUAACUCCCCGAAAGGGGUGCUAAUACCGGAUAAUGUCUUCGGACCAAAGAUUUAUCGCCUUUGGAUGGGCCCGCGUUUGAUUAGCUAGUUGGUAGGGUAAAAGCCUACCAAGGCGACGAUCCAUAGCUGGUCUGAGAGGAUGAUCAGCCACACUGGGACUGAGACACGGCCCAGACUCCUACGGGAGGCAGCAGUGGGGAAUAUUGGACAAUGGGCGAAAGCCUGAUCCAGCAAUGCCGCGUGAGUGAUGAAGGCCUUAGGGUUGUAAAGCUCUUUUACCCGGGAUGAUAAUGACAGUACCGGGAGAAUAAGCUCCGGCUAACUCCGUG